rnacentral:rRNA from 1 species
GACGAACGCUGGCGGCGUGCUUAACACGUGCAAGUCGAACGGAAAGGCCCCCUUGUGGGGUACUCGAGUGGCGAACGGGUGAGUAACACGUGAGUAACCUACCCUUGACUUUGGGAUAACUUCAGGAAACUGGGGCUAAUACCGGAUAGGAGCUCCUGCUGCAUGGUGGGGGUUGGAAAGUUUCGGCGGUUGGGGAUGGGCUCGCGGCUUAUCAGCUUGUUGGUGGGGUAGUGGCUCACCAAGGCUUUGACGGGUAGCCGGCCUGAGAGGGUGACCGGCCACAUUGGGACUGAGAUACGGCCCAGACUCCUACGGGAGGCAGCAGUGGGGAAUAUUGCACAAUGGGCGGAAGCCUGAUGCAGCAACGCCGCGUGCGGGAUGACGGCCUUCGGGUUGUAAACCGCUUUCGCCUGUGACGAAGCGUGAGUGACGGUAAUGGGUAAAGAAGCACCGGCUAACUACGUG